ACUGACUUCCUUCGCACUCAGCCCACUCGCACCCGGGUGAAUAAACAGCCUUUGUUGCUCACACUUAGCCUGUUCAAGUUGUCUCUUCAAUUAGAUGCUCGCAUAACAUUUGGUGCCGAAAGCCCGGGAUAGGGGAACUCCUCCGGCAGACCUCUCCUCUAUCCUCCCGGUACCCACGUUCUCCCAUGCAAGAGACUUCCCUCGCCCUCAGGACCUCAGACCAGCUCCGCGAGCACUCCGGCCUCUGUCUAUGGAUAUGGUGUUCAAUAAUAGGGAAGAGACUGCCCGGCGACAGCGCAUUUCAGAACUACAGAUGCUUGCCUCCGCCAUAAGACAAACCCCAGCUGCACUGCCUACCUGCAAGAACUUCAAGGCAUCUAAACGCAACAUCCAACAGCCCCUCUGGGACUUUGCUUCAAGCGAUGAAAACCUGGCCACUGGGCCAAGGAAUGCCUGCAGCCUGGGAUUCCUCCUAAGCCAUGCCCCGCCUGUGCGGGCCCUCACUGGAAGUCUGACUGCCCGACUCUCAUCGCCACUUCCGGAGCUCCUGGAGCUCAAACCCAAAGCUCCCCACCGACUCCUUCCCAGAUCUCCUCGGCUUGGCGGCUGAAGACUGACGCUGCCCGAACGUCUCGGAGGCCCCUUAGACAAUCGCGGAUGCCGAGCUUCGGGUAACUCUUAGGGUGGAGGGCUAGACAUAAAAUCUGCCAAGCUGCCAAUUUCCUGUUACCUACUCCAGAGACCCAGUGAUAUGAAGACACCCUAGCUGGACUGUCAGUUCUCGUUAAGAACCUAACCCCUCAAACUCUACAACCUCUGUGGACAGGAUCCUACCUGGUCAUCUAUAGUACCCCAACAGUGGUCAGUCUACAGAAUCCUCCCCACUGGAUUCAUCGCUCCAGGAUAAAACUAUGCCCAUCUGACGACCAGCCUAGCUCCUCCACCUCCUCCUGGAAGUCACAAGUACUCUCUCCUACUUCCCUUAAACUUACCCGCAUUCCUGAAAAAGAACAAUAAA
ensembl:lncRNA novel transcript